rnacentral:rRNA from 1 species
UGAUACUGAAGGUCUUGAAUUUAGUUGAGGUGGGCGGAAUACGUUAUGUAGCGGUGAAAUGCAUAGAUAUAACGUAGAACACCGAUUGCGAAGGCAGCUCACUAAGCUAACAUUGACGCUGAUGGACGAAAGCGUGGGGAGCGAACAGGAUUAGAUACCCUGGUAGUCCACGCCGUAAACGAUGAUUACUCGUUGUGCACGAUACACUGUGCGUGACUGAGCGAAAGCAUUAAGUAAUCCACCUGGGGAGUACGUUCGCAAGAAUGAAACUCAAAGGAAUUGACGGGGGCCCGCACAAGCGGAGGAACAUGUGGUUUAAUUCGAUGAUACGCGAGGAACCUUACCUGGACUUAAAUGUAGAUUGACCGGCUUAGAAAUAGGUCUUUCCUUCGGGACAAUUUACAAGGUGCUGCAUGGUUGUCGUCAGCUCGUGCCGUGAGGUGUCGGGUUAAGUCCCAUAACGAGCGCAACCCCUAUCGUUAGUUGCUAGCAGGUAAUGCUGAGGACUCUAGCGAGACUGCCACCGUAAGGUGAGAGGAAGGUGGGGAUGACGUCAAAUCAGCACGGCCCUUACGUCCAGGGCUACACACGUGUUACAAUGGCCAGUACAAAGGGCAGCUACCUGGUGACAGGAUGCUAAUCUCUAAAGCUGGUCUCAGUUCGGAUCGGAGUCUGCAACUCGACUCCGUGAAGUUGGAUUCGCUAGUAAUCGUAGAUCAGCAAUGCUACGGUGAAUACGUUCCCGGGCCUUGUACACACCGCCCGUCAAGCCAUGGAAGCCGAGGGGACCUGAAGUUCGUAACCGCAAGGAGCGACCUAGGGUAAAAUUGGUAACUAGGGCUAA